AGAGCGAACGCUGGCGGCAUGCUUAACACAUGCAAGUCGCACGGGCAGGGGAGACCCUGUCAGUGGCGGACGGGUGAGUAACGCGUAGGUAUCUAUCCUUGGGUGGGGGACAACGGCUGGAAACGGCUGCUAAUACCGCAUGAUGACCGAGGUCUAAAGGCGCAAGUCGCCUGGGGAGGAGCCUGCGUACGAUUAGCUUGUUGGUGGGGUAAAGGCCUACCAAGGCUACGAUCGUUAGCUGGUCUGAGAGGAUGAUCAGCCACAUUGGGACUGAGACACGGCCCAAACUCCUACGGGAGGCAGCAGUGGGGAAUAUUGGACAAUGGGCGCAAGCCUGAUCCAGCAAUGCCGCGUGUGUGAAGAAGGUCUUCGGAUUGUAAAGCACUUUCGACGGGGACGAGUGAUGACGGUACCCGUAGAACGAAGCCCCGGCUAACUUCGUGCCAGCAGCCGC
rnacentral:rRNA from 1 species